GUGACCUUACCAUGCUGGAACUAUAGGUUCUCGUCCGAUCAUCGAAAUUAAGAAGUGUUGAGCCCGGAUAGCAAUUGUAUGGGCGAUUGGAUGGGAGUACCGGAUGUUUCGGAAGUUC
rnacentral:rRNA from 1 species